ACCAGUGGCGGUGGUAAGGGGUAGAUAGAUGGACAGAGUGCCAGGACUAUAGUGGGUGGUGGAAGGAGAGGCACCAGGGGGUAGAUAGAUGGACAGAGUGCCAGGACUAUAGGUGGGUGGAAGGAGAGGACACCAGGGGUGAUAGAUGGACAGAGUGCCCGGGCUAUACAGUGGGUGGAAGGAGAGAGGCACCGGUGUAGUGGGUGAUAGAUGGACAGAGUGCCAGGGCUAACAGUGGGGGAAGGAAGAGGACACAGGGGUAGAUAGAUGGACAGAGUGUGCCAGGACUAUAGGUGGGUGAAGGAGAGGACACCAGGGGUAGAUAGAUGGACAGAGUGCCAGGACUAUAGGUGGGUGGAAGGCGAGGACACCAGGGGGUAGAUAGAUGGACAGAGUGCCAGGGCUUGGAGGAGAGAUCAUGUGAGGAGUGACUGCUGGAAGUAAAGUGCAGUACUGUAAUCUGUGCUUAGUUUCUACGAAGCUCAACAAACUGAGCAAAAAACUCACCAAGCAGCAAAAGGGCUGAAAGCGAAGCGUCAGAAAGAGAGGGAACAACAGAGAAUACAGAAAGGGACCAAGAGAGAAAAGGAAAGAAAAUGAGUUUAGGAUAAAGUAGAAGACUUAAAGUGGAGAAACACUGACAGACAGGAGAUACGGCUGGGAGAUGUGGCCUAGCAAUCAGAUCUCCAUUAUUUCAAACUUAUGGGCAAAUCACUAUAUAUAAAUAUAUGUUUUUUAAUGUUCUCUCUAAAUAAGCGUUGUUGUACAAUGAAAGGUCAAAUACACUGCAUUUCAUACAGUCAGCAAUAAUCUAAUGAAUUCAGGGUUUGUGAAGUUAUACCCAGGCUAAAUAUGAGCUUUCCACAAAAAUAAGACCCACUAAUAACUUAAUGACUUUAUCAAAAUAGUUUAACCUCUCCAACUGUUUGAAAAGCAUGUUAGCCUGUCCACCUUGUUCAAGUGGCCUACCUUAUUCCUCAGAAUGAGAACGAGUUGCCAAUUCCUUAUAUAAUUGUUCUUUAUGCUUAUUGCACAUUUAUAAAACACAGACUAGACAGCUAGUAUAACAGUCUUUGGCUAAAAUGCUGCUAGCGGUACGUGGUAACCCAAUGCAGAUUAUUCGUUAUCCAGAAUCAAUGUUAAUUGAUACUCUCGUUUUAUUAGUGUCUGUUCUGUGGGCAAUUUGAGGAGUUGAGACUUAAAAUGGAAGAGUUCAUCUAUCCUCUAUUACAGCAAAAAUAAUGUCUCAAUGUGUUUUGGGGUCCAUAUGACCUACUCUGUUGGACCAAACCUCAAAUGCAAAUAGCGGAAGAUGUGAUCUCUCAACAUUGAAGAAUUUGUUCUUAACUGACUUGCCUAGUUAAAUAAAUGUAUAAAUAAAUUGUUGCCGUGAAGCGGGGGGAGGGGCUUGGUGUGUGUGUAAACCAUAGAGGAAGAGGCUAAGCUAGAGGUUUCACUCUCGC
rnacentral:lncRNA from 1 species